CCAGACUCCUACGGGAGGCAGCAGUGAGGAAUAUUGGUCAAUGGGCGCGAGCCUGAACCAGCCAAGUCGCGUGAGGGAUGACGGCCCUACGGGUUGUAAACCUCUUUUGUCGGGGAGCAAAAGACGCCACGCGUGGCGUUCCGAGAGUACCCGAAGAAAAAGCAUCGGCUAACUCCGUGCCAGCAGCCGCGGUAAUACGGAGGAUGCGAGCGUUAUCCGGAUUUAUUGGGUUUAAAGGGUGCGUAGGCGGGCUGUUAAGUCAACGGUCAAAUGUCGGGGCUCAACCCCGGCCUGCCGUUGAAACUGGCGGCCUCGAGUGGGCGAGAAGUAUGCGGAAUGCGUGGUGUAGCGGUGAAAUGCAUAGAUAUCACGCAGAACUCCGAUUGCGAAGGCAGCAUACCGGCGCCCGACUGACGCUGAGGCACGAAAGCGUGGGUAUCGAACAGGAUUAGAUACCCGCGUA
rnacentral:rRNA from 1 species